AUCGCUUCUCGGCCUUUUGGCUAAGAUCAAGUGUAGUAUCUGUUCUUAUCAGUUUAAAUUCUGAUACGUCCCCUACCCGGGGCCCAUAUAUUAAAUUGAUUUUUUGGAACUGAGGAGAUGGAAUAGGGGCUUGCUCCGUCCGCUCCAUGCAUCGGGCCUGGUAUUGCAGUACCUCCAGGAUGCGGUGCACCCCUC